AUGGUUUUUCCACUUUGCACGAAAAAACAUCCCCUUCCAUCGCGUCGGGAGUGAAGAUUAUCAUAAUAACCUCCAACGAUUAUGCCGAAUCUUUAAUGCAAUCCUAGAUGGUUGCAGCACGAUUUCAAGUUGUUGAGAUAAGAUUUGUAGAAGAUUUAAAAUUCCACAGCUAUAAAUAACCCAUGAGCUCUUAGAAGAAAGGCAAUCACCAAACCACAAUUGGAACGGCACUGCCACUUGGAUUCCUCCUUCGUUUCCACAUAAAAAUCUUUUCUGACUUAAACAUGCAUUGGAGGGUCCAGUCGGAGCCAAUCCAAUGAGUCCUCUAACCCCUUUAUUGUCUUACAGAUCUAUGGAGAUAGCCCAUGUCA
rnacentral:lncRNA from 1 species